rnacentral:rRNA from 1 species
UACAGCGGUCCCAAGCGUUGUUCGGAUUCAUUGGGCGUAAAGGGUGCGUAGGCGGCGCGGUAAGUCGGGUGUGAAAUCUCGGAGCUUAACUCCGAAACUGCAUUCGAUACUGCCGUGCUUGAGGACUGGAGAGGAGACUGGAAUUUACGGUGUAGCGGUGAAAUGCGUAGAUAUCGUAAGGAAGACCAGUGGCGAAGGCGGGUCUCUGGACAGUUCCUGACGCUGAGGCACGAAGGUCAGGGGAGCAAACGGG